AAUAAAGGUUAAAAAACAUUUUUUUUUUUAAUUUAUAACAUAUUUUAGUCAAUGCUGUGACUUCCCUAGGUCUAGGCUUGGCUCAACGAUUGGGCUCCUCAGCCGGGAAGGUGAAGGCAUUCCACAGAGUUCUCCCCCUGCAGGUGUCUGGGGCGUUCUAUGGAGACUGGCCAGGGCUGGGCCACAGGCAGUGUCUGGAAACAGGGAGAACUGUCCAGGGAGGCUGAGCUGGGGGUUGUGCCUGCACGGGCAUUCUUGUAUGGAGGGGUGGUGUGGCAUUCUAAUCGUACCCCUAGAAGGGAAAAGCCUCCAAGACCCUAACUUGUGAGUCUGGAGACAUUUAUGGGGAUGGCCAGGCCAGGAAGGCAUCUGGGACAAACUGUCAGGAAAGGAGGUCCUGAGGAUGGGGGGGGGGGGCGGCGGCAAACUCCGCCCCCCUGGCCAAGCCCCAUCCCUGCUGCCCUGCCACUCCCCUGAGUUUCCCUGUUUACUGCCACAACACAUCCCGGGGGCCAGCCCCCUUGCCCUUCCUGCUCAGGGAGGCCUGGGUUGGCCUCUCUCAGCUCCCUGGGCACCUCUUUCCCAACCUCCCGGCUGUUACAACACACACAGAAAAUGACAACCAUUGCAGGGCACACUGGCGAACGGAAGUCAGGGAAGCCAGAGGCAACCAGCCUCCCUGUCCCUGAACAGGCUGGCGCCCUCCUGCCUCAGGGCCCUUGCCUGUGCCAAGCCCCCUGCUCAAAUCCACGUAUCCGCAUGAUUUGUCACCACCAUUUCCUCUCAACCGGGCCCAGGUGCCAACCUUCCCCGCGGCCCUGCCAGGAGUCUGGGGUGGUGGGAAAACCCUGGCCUUGCAGUCUGUUUUCGUCUGUAAUUAGGACAGUAUCACCAGCUUCCUGGGGGUGGCCGUGAGGACAGAGAUGGUGUCGGGGCACUCCUGAGUGGAGCAGGUACACAGCGACGGGGAUGGGGCCCCGGGAGGACCCAUGGCCUGCCCAGGCUCUGCCUGGGUGUCCUGGCUGCUGGGGAGAGAAACAUCCAUUGUUCUGGGCUGGGAUCUCCAGUGAGCGCCUGUCCCUCCAGGGCCCCAAGUGGCCCCCGCACACCUUCCCGUUCUGCCUUAGAGCUUCCCCAGCACGAGAGCACACUGUUGCUUAUCCGCUGCUUCCACUAUCCUUCGAGGGAGGUGAGGUGGGCACUGGAGCGCCCAUUUUACAGAUGGGGGAUUAGAGGUUCCGAGAGGUGAGGUGAGAUAACAUCCAGGGGGUCUCCCACACAUGCGCCGGGCUCUACGCUUCCCGCUACGGUCCUUUGUGCUGGACCCUGAUGGGCGUUGGUUCCGAGGUUAUACUGGGACCCAAUCUCUAGGCCCACAGAGGAGGGCUGUGUGCAUUCAGGGCUCUGCCGUGAUGCCAGAUAAUCUGCAUUUAUUGAGCCCCGACCACGGAGCCAGCCAAGCGUUUGACUCUGGGACUUGUCAAGCCUCACACAUCUAGGAACAGGCGCGGCUGUCCCGUGCAGAGAUGCGGAAGUGAGCCAGCGCCAGGAGUGAAGCCUGGUCUUCGUGAUGUGAAAGUCUGUGCUCCCUCCCGCAGGCGGCACUGCUGGGAGAGAAGGGGAGGCGGGGACAAAGAGGAGGGCGUGAAGAGGGAAGAGAAACUCGGAGUUUGGAGAGUCUGGGACGCUGGAGGGGAGGUGGACUCCGGGGAGCCGAUUCAGGAGACAGACGGCUCUAGCCAGGAAGAACAAGCUGGCAGCCGCUGGGACCGAGCCCGUAAGCCAAAGGGCUUGGCCAAGGAGGAAGGAAACUGCCAGCACGCGCACAUCUGCACCCCAGGAGCCCAAGCUGCUCUCCGCGAAGCUGGGGUGAGGAGGGCGGUUGGUCUAGGGACACGGGGGAGAUGCUAGGCCGUGAGCCCCGCCCCUCGCCAGGCCUGCUCUUCAGGCAUCUCAGCCCCUCCUGACUCACACCGUCCCCCCCUGAGUCCACACGCGGAUAAUCAGAAGGUGUUGGUGGACGGGUGGGUGUCAGCUUCCGAGGGCGGGUUUUCCCCCGGGGUUGCGUAGCCGGGCGGGCACGAGGCCCGAGGGCAUCUUGUCACUCUUGGUGGCUUGGUGCGGGUGUGCAUGCUCCUGCAUGUGAGUGCCUGUGUGUGCCAGGUUUGCGGUGUCACGCAGGGGCCCCUUGGCGUGUUUGCCUGUACACGUGGUGUGUGCACGAGCACGUACUGACUGCGAACGAUCGUGCGUGUGUGCAUGCCCGCGUGGUGGCGUGGGUCGAGGGGGCCUGUGCUGUGCGCACACGCGUGUAUGCAUGCGUGUGUGCCUGUGCAGGAGAGCUGGGCAGAGAGGACACUCCAGUGAUGCUGGGGAGGAUCCCUGCUUUCCCAUGAUCCCCCACUGAAGCUGGCCGAGGACGCUGUUGCAGGGAAGGGAGGCCUGGGAAGCCUUCUCCCAAAGGUGCUGCCAGCAGCAGGGGAGGGAGGGAGGAAACAGCACCUUAUUUAAAUGCAAAUGACUGAAAUACAACUUUCUUUAUUAAAAUGCAAAUUACACUUCAGUCUCACACCUCCCGGUGCCAAAGCCACAGAACCCAAUCAGGAAUCAAAGCCGCAAGGACCCUCAGUCACCCGGGGUGGUGAGAGGCCCCACUUGCUGGGCACAGGAAGCCAAGGCGGACAGAGGAUGGGCCCCAGGUGGGCCUGGGAUGUUGAGCCAGAUGCUUGCCAUCCCCCCCUCUAGGGCUUCCGGGAGAGGGAAACAGCUACUGAUGCCAGAAGUGGGGGCCGGAGGUUGCCCCCAGAGCAGACCAGGCCGGAGCUUGCCCUGGGCCACCUGCUGGCUCUCUGCCUGGCUGGGGCAACGCGCUGCGUGGUCCCCAAUGAGCCCCGGGCUCCCUGGUGAGCCUGGAGCCCUCAGUUGGGAGACUUGUUUGGCUACUUGCAAACAAGAAUUGUUUGGCUACUUGCCAACGCGGUUAACCGGACCGCCUCUUGGACGGUCAGAACCUGGCUGCCAGGGAGAGUAUUGGAGUCCACCUCGAGCAGCCCCAGCUCUGAGCUCAGGCCCCAAGGCAGCCUUGACUCCCUCAUCCCCUCCUCUUGCCAGGGGCCCUGGAGCAGGCUGCCAGGUCGUGAGGGGGGACUGCAGUAGGCGACCUGACUCGGGGUCAGAUCCUCUGGCAAGAAGGGUAUCUUUCUCUUCGCACACAGACACACUUGACUUACACCUUUUCCUAAGUCAGUCCUCCCACAGAAGGUGCCUCUUCCUGAUUUGCACGUAGUCGCCGCACAGCUUGGGGGCUCCUGAGACCUCGGACUUCUCUUCUGCUCUACACCUCCCUCUCAGAUCUUACUUCUGCUCCCUGCUCCUUGCUUCCCCCACCCCCACGUCUCUACACUUUGUUCCCUGCACCCCCUCUUUGCUCCUCAUCUUCUAGCCCUUCUCCACCUCUCUGCACCCUCCCUCUGGUUUGUCCCCCUCCCAGAAUCAGCCUGACAUGGGGUCCUCAUCCACCAGGGUCUGAGACAGGUGCAGGCAGCCCAGGAAGGGUGGGCCAGACCCUUGCUGGCUCAGGGCCAUCCCGGCACGUGCAGGGAGCCCGGGGCGUGGGGGAGGGUCCCGGCUCCUUCCAUCUGCCAAGCUCCUAAUAUAGGCAGCAGCAGCCGGGGCGCCGAGCGGGGGAAGCAGGGGAAGCAGAAGGCAACUUGGAGCUGGAGGGUGACAGGGCUGCAUUUCCUCCGUAUAAAUAGUCCUGUCUGUCUCCCUGGGGGGCGGGUGGCUUCCUGGGGCACUUCUGAUGUCAUCAGCGUCCCCGGAGAGCUCUGCUGUUAUGGCGGGGAUAGCUGUCACAGGAGGCUGCAGCGCUGGGGCCCCCAGCGUGCCUCGGGGCCAGUGCAUCGGGCAGUCCCGGCCUCUCUCAAGCAUCUUCUUGGUCACCGAAGACCCACACCCCAGGCUGUGCGGGUCAUGGAGUGGGCCCCUCUGAGGUCUCUUCCUUGACCUCACGCCCAAAUCGCUCCGCUGGUCCCACCAGGCCCAGGGACUCUGGGAGGCUGCCCUGGGGGACGCUGAGAACACGGCAACCCCAUGUAGACCCCCAUCUCUCCGUGCGAUGGGUCCAAGCACAAGAGAUGACAAAGAUUUUGGUGAGAGAUACAGGUGGCUCCUGGCUGUCGCCAUACUGGCCUCAACUUCCCCGGCAGGGCCCCCGGCUCCGUCCACUCCGGGAGGAGAAGGCUCACCCUCAACCCGGCACAGCACCGCCCACCCUAAAUGCCAAGCUUUGGUCCCGUAUUUCGGUAUCAACGUGGGCUUCUUCAGACCCUGUUACCCUGUCGAGAAGGUAGAGGAGACAAAGCUCCAGCCAGGGCUGUCACCAUCAGGCUGGGAGCUCCCAGAGGACAGGGGCUGCUCCGCCCAUCAGACGUGUGGGGGGCGGGUGUUGGUUCUUUAAGAGCCGGAGGCCCUGCCUCUGUCCUCAGGCUGGGGUUUCCCUCAUAUGGAGGUGGUCCUGCUGAUGGAGCCCCGUGGGAGUCUGUCUCCAGAGCCCGAUCUGUCCUUGAAAGUCCCGGGGGGGGGGGGCAUCCUGACCAACAAGAAUGGCCUUAGGAGGGCACUGCAAGGGGACAAAGACACUGGGCAGCUGGCAAAGGCCAGGGCCCGUCCCCCGCCUGCACUCCCAGCCACUGGCUGAGGAGGGUAUGGAAGGGAAGGCCAGCACGGCAGGGAGGAAACGGGGAGGCUUGGGACAAGCAGGCGGAGGCUGGGGACCCAUCUGUGCCUGGUGGGCUUUGAACAGCGUGGCUCGUAUGGGACAGUGAGCAGGGGCUCCGGAGCCACUCGACUCUGCGCUUACUAGCUUUGUGAUGCCAGCAAAGGCGCUCAACCUCUCUGAGCCCUCACUUUCUCUGAGAAGACUCAACAGGACCUGCGUCGCGGCAUUGACAUCAUCCAAUGGUGCGUGGCGCACGGCAAGGACCGUCCUUAGGCUGAAAGCCCCCGGGUCUCCUCUUACAAUUCUUCGGCUGUUAGAGGCCCUCCCGGCUCCUCCUGCCUUGCAGGGCACCCACACUAAGCAGUGAGAAGGUGCUCUGCUGUGGGGCCGACCAUCGAGGCUGCCAUUAUCUCUUAGGCACUCAGUGCCCGCGGCUCAAGUCAAGCCAGGAAUCUCUCUGAGCACGAUGACAGGUCAGCGCAGCCCUCCUGCGUGGCAGCCCUGGGACGGCCGGGACAGCCGGGAUUGGGAGCCCCCGGUAGGGUGACUGUGGGCAUGCCCCGCACCUCUCCCGGAGGGCUCUGCCCUGGCUGCCCAGGGCACUGCCUUCCAGCCUCCCGGCCUGUCCUGGGAUCCUGUCCCAAUUCAGUAUGAGUGUAAUUGGAUUUGAACCCUUGUCUCAGGGCCUGCCUCCGAGGGAGCCCACACUAAGACUUUCACACGGCUGUGAGCUAGCUCUCCCCGAGGCCAAGUGACUCAGAGGCUGGGCCUGGAUAGAGGGAGGGCUCCUCCUUCAGGGGCUCUGAGGGUCCAGGGCCAGGGCUUGGAAGCGGAACUGUUACCAGGCUCUGCAGAAACCUCUGCUGCCCUUGGGGCUGUGACAAGAGCUGUCUCCUCUCGUGUCCUUACUCUGUGUCAACAUCCUCUUAUCAGCCCUUGUAAAGGAGGCUGCCGGCAGCAUGUGGGUGGCAGCAAAGUCAUGCCCCGUCCUUGAGGUGGUGGAGUCAGAAAACUAGAGGAUAAUCACUUAUACGCAUUAGGUGUGAUAUCUUAUUUAUUCUCAUAACAAUCCUGGAAGCCAGACUGCCACGUACAGUCGGGCAGGUUGUUCACUGCAAGAGGGCAGUGCAAGUUCUUCCUACCAAAGCAGCCUACCUGGCACAUAUCUGUGCCCCUGUGGGUGGUGAGGGAAAGAGGAGGAAAGCCUUUCACCAUGCCCAAGAGUUUUCAGCAUGUAAGAGGUUGAACUAAGCUCUGAUUCCAAGAAUUCUGGCUUCAGGGCCUGCAUUCCUUACUACACUGCUUCAUACACCCUUGACAGGGCUGAGCCAGUAAUGAGGGCUGGAAAGCUGGGGAGGGCUUCGACUCUUGGGGGCCAAGUCGGUCCUGAGAUGUGGGGAGUCCAAAGAACCAAGGGAAGAUAGUCAUCUCCCCUGGGCGGACCAGGAGUCUGGGGGCCAAGCCUGAGCUACGUGCCAUGAGGGAAAAGGCCAGAACUAGAAGCCAGGAGACCAGAAUUCUGCGGCUUUGUGGUCCUGAGCAAGCCACCUUGCCUCCCAGAGCCUCCAUUUUCCCACCUGUAAAAUGGGAAGUUUACGGGCCCCAGCUUGUCUGUUCCACUGGCUAGGAAUAAACCAGAUGUUUGAAGGAUUUCAGAGGGAGGGAGGUAUUUUCCAGUGCCUAAAAUCACACCAAGAACUGCCCAAGUUCAAGCUCAAUACAUAUUUGUCGUCUGCUUAACACAAUUAUUAUUUCCCAGGUCUGUCUGUGCAGACCCCACCCCCAACCCCACCCUUUACUGACAGCCCAUCCCCCCCAAGUGCCUGCCUUCCUUCUCUGACACAGAACAGCACAGUCUGAAUGCCAGGGCGCUCCGGGCGAAUGACUCAGCCUCCGGAACGAGUCCCAACAUCUGGCUGACAAAGGGCACGGCUUGCUCCCGAAGCAACUCCUUCUGCACAAAUAUGUGCUUAAUAUUCAAUUAGUAUUUAUCUGCCACGAACAACAAUUACGCCACUGACGCUCAAUGAAGUGCCUGGUUAAUUAAUUAACGCAGCCUUUCACAUGCUGGCAGUAUUUCUCUGUGAGUACGGUGGCUAAAAAUAAUAGCACAGUGACGCCAGGACGAGCCAGGGCUGGCAGGGGCGCCCUGGGUUUUCCGGGCUCCAGAUGUGAGUCUGGAGCUGAGCGUCUGCCACCCAUCCAGUCAUCUUCUGGAGUUAAAAGAAAAAAAAAAACAAGGCCACGCCAGGAUUUGUAGCAAGACACUUAACCCCUCCACCGCCCAGCCCGGUUCCUCCUCCACAGCAGGAGGGCCAGAUGACCGUCAGGGCUCCCUGGUGUCCUGAACACAGGGGUUCCCUCUGUGACACUCAGAACUGUACUGAACCCUCCAGGCUCCACACGCAAGCACCACCUCGGCUCCUGGGUCCGAUCUCGGGAGAGGCUGCUGACCGCACCCCCUGCACCUGUUUCCCCUGCUCCCUACAGCUGGGUCCCCCCCUUCUGUUUCUGUUCCUGCUCCUGCCCUCUCCUGGCCUCCCAGCCCAGCUCCCCAGCUACCAGCCUCCAGGGCCCUACUCUCCCCUCUGCCCCCACCUCCCUCAGGACCUACUGAGGGGGCAGAGCACGGAGACCAGGCUGCCUGGAUUCACCCCAGCACUCAGCUGACUAGGUGUGUGACGCCGGACAAGUCACCCAAGGCCCCGUGCCUCAGUUUCCCCACUUCCAGAAUGCAGAUCCUCACGUGGGAAUAAUCACAGCCUCCGCUCAGAGUGGGAUAAACUGCCAGAAUCGGCCCAGAAGGUUCUGUGGAUAGCAGGGCGGACGGCACCCUCCCUAUGCGUGAGGACCCGAGGGGAACCCGAAGAGGAGACCCACAUAUUGUAAUUCAGAAGGUGCCACACCCGAGGGGCGUUCAAGGUGCCGAGGACGAGGAUGGGUGGAGAGGGGGCAGCGGUGGAGAGAGAAAAUCCCAAGCAGACUCCGUGCUGUCUGCGCAGACCCCCACGCGGGGCUCAAACUCAUGAGCUGCGAGAUCGUGACCUGAGCCGAAGCCGGACGCCCGACCGACCGGGCCACCCGGGCGCCCCAGGAUGUGCUCUUAAACUAACAGCACUAACGUUGGCCUUGGGAUUGUCAGACAGAGGCACCACUCCCCUGGCGGGCCAGUUCUUGGGCAUCAUUCCGGCAGGCUCCUCCAAGCACUGGAUCCGCACCUGAUGGCCUGAGAUAGGCCGGCGUGGAGCCUUUAGGAGUCGUCUAGGCGAGAGAAGGCGAAAAGGUUGAACCAGGGCCGUGGCUGCAGGCUGCGGAUUUGAGAAGAGAUUUGGAAGACAAUUCUGAAGAGUCCUCUUGGUUCGCUGAUCUACUGGAGGUAGAUGGUGGGGGGAGGGAGGCGAGGAAUUAAAAAUAACCCUAGUUUGUCUCCUGGUUUGCACGGCUGGUGGAAGACGAAGCAAGCCACCGGUCAAGACAGGGAAGAGCAGGAACGAGGAGGAAGGUGAUGUUUCUGAGCUGGCCCAUGGGUUUAAGGACCCAUGCAGAUAGCAGAUGCAGACUGGAGUCUGGAGGGCAGAGGACGACGGGGAGACGCUGGCCCAGAGGUGAGAAGAGGGGAGAGGAACGGGGCAAAGGUGUCACCUCAUCGUGAUGGCAGCAGUGUCGCGGAAAGCCACCAGCAGCUCAGACUGGGUCAGAUGCUGUUCGAUGUCUCUAGGAAGUCACAUGCACGGGGGCAAACCUUCCCAUCCUGCUAGGAGGCCACCUGCCGCCAGCAGCGUCUCUCUUGCCUGCAAGACAUGGAAUCUUAUCAUUAUCUCAGUCUCCUCAAGGCUUUACUCAUAGACGUGGCUCGUUGGCGGGCCUCCUGACAAAACUGUGGGGACAAGGUGGGGUCAGAAGCCACACGGGGAGGGAAGGGGGAGCGGGCGGGAGUCCUACAGACGGGGAGAGGAAGCUGCUGUUGCCAGAUGUCCGCAGGGGCCUGGGAAGGGGAGAGAGUGGGAAGAGGAGGCAGCGACAAUAGGGGAGGCACCACUUUCUCUGGGUGGGGAGGGGUGAGAGUAACACUGAAGAGCAGCGGGAGAGGGAGACUGAGAACCCGCCACCACCCUCACCCGGACGGGGCCACCACGCUGGCCAGUGUCCCUCUCCAAUGCACCCUCCAGGCCAACCGGAGUGAGCUCCAGCCCACCACACCUCACCCUCCCUUACUCCGAGUCACUCGCUGGCUCCCUGUUGCCCCAGAGUCUCAGUGUCCUUGUGCUCUCAGGAGGAGCCCUCGGCGAUCUCCCCACCGCCUGCCUCCCCAACCACUUGCCCUGCUCUUUCCUAAGGGAAAAACCUGCCGCGGCGGCCAAACCACUCCGGCUUCAUUUUCUCCGGGUACGCCACAGUUGUUCCUGCCCGUGAAGAAGCCGUUUUGGACCCUUAAACUCUUGUUUGAGCUGCCCUGAUGGUUUCAGAAACGUGGGGCAGCAAGAGGGUUUGACCCUUUGAGAAGCCCAGCGGUGGGCCCACAGAUAUGCCUCCCUCUUCUGGUGUGGGCACCGAGGGAAGGAACGCUCCUCCCCCAAGGCCAAAGCCGAUCACAGCAAGCCCGGUGCUCCCUUUUGCCAGUGAUUGGUUCAAAGGUGGGCAUGUGACCCAGUUUGGGCCAACAGAGAAGUCUGAGGAAGGGUUCUGGGAGAGAUUUUACUCCCUGUUAAAAAGGAAGCCGUGUGCUAGCAGCUCUUUCCUGCUUUUGGAUACCGAGGUGUGAGCAUGUGAUGUGGCAGCCACCUUGUGACUAUGAGGGGAAACAUGGCUGAUACGCUGAGAAUAGCUGACGGGAAUAAUGAGCAGAAAUGAGGCCCAGGAUAAUGUACUGAGCCACGGUACCUACCCUGGAUGUCCUCAACCUCCUGACAUCUUGUUAAGCAAGCUUGUGAACUUCUGUAACCUAGCUCGGCAUCCCCAUUUGUAAAAUUAGGAAGAAGGAGGACAAGGGGAGGAGAGACGAUCUCACAGGGCUGUUAUGAGGAUAAAAGUGAACUAUUGGUGAACCCCUUAGUUAUAUGGCUGCACCUAUGCCUGGAAAUAUUGGUGUUAAAUAAAUAGAAAUAAUGAAAACUCC